AUGGCUCAGAUUGAACGCUGGCGGCAGGCCUAACACAUGCAAGUCGAACGGUAACAGGAAGCAGCUUGCUGCUUUGCUGACGAGUGGCGGACGGGUGAGUAAUGUCUGGGAAACUGCCUGAUGGAGGGGGAUAACUACUGGAAACGGUGGCUAAUACCGCAUAACGUCGCAAGACCAAAGAGGGGGACCUUCGGGCCUCUUGCCAUCAGAUGUGCCCAGAUGGGAUUAGCUUGUUGGUGAGGUAACGGCUCACCAAGGCGACGAUCCCUAGCUGGUCUGAGAGGAUGACCAGCCACACUGGAACUGAGACACGGUCCAGACUCCUACGGGAGGCAGCAGUGGGGAAUAUUGCACAAUGGGCGCAAGCCUGAUGCAGCCAUGCCGCGUGUAUGAAGAAGGCCUUCGGGUUGUAAAGUACUUUCAGCGGGGAGGAAGGUGUUGUGGUUAAUAACCGCAGCAAUUGACGUUACCCGCAGAAGAAGCACCGGCUAACUCCGUGCCAGCAGCCGCGGUAAUACGGAGGGUGCAAGCGUUAAUCGGAAUUACUGGGCGUAAAGCGCACGCAGGCGGUCUGUCAAGUCGGAUGUGAAAUCCCCGGGCUCAACCUGGGAACUGCAUUCGAAACUGGCAGGCUUGAGUCUUGUAGAGGGGGGUAGAAUUCCAGGUGUAGCGGUGAAAUGCGUAGAGAUCUGGAGGAAUACCGGUGGCGAAGGCGGCCCCCUGGACAAAGACUGACGCUCAGGUGCGAAAGCGUGGGGAGCAAACAGGAUUAGAUACCCUGGUAGUCCACGCCGUAAACGAUGUCUACUUGGAGGUUGUGCCCUUGAGGCGUGGCUUCCGGAGCUAACGCGUUAAGUAGACCGCCUGGGGAGUACGGCCGCAAGGUUAAAACUCAAAUGAAUUGACGGGGGCCCGCACAAGCGGUGGAGCAUGUGGUUUAAUUCGAUGCAACGCGAAGAACCUUACCUGGUCUUGACAUCCACAGAACUUUCCAGAGAUGGAUUGGUGCCUUCGGGAACUGUGAGACAGGUGCUGCAUGGCUGUCGUCAGCUCGUGUUGUGAAAUGUUGGGUUAAGUCCCGCAACGAGCGCAACCCUUAUCCUUUGUUGCCAGCGGUCCGGCCGGGAACUCAAAGGAGACUGCCAGUGAUAAACUGGAGGAAGGUGGGGAUGACGUCAAGUCAUCAUGGCCCUUACGACCAGGGCUACACACGUGCUACAAUGGCGCAUACAAAGAGAAGCGACCUCGCGAGAGCAAGCGGACCUCAUAAAGUGCGUCGUAGUCCGGAUUGGAGUCUGCAACUCGACUCCAUGAAGUCGGAAUCGCUAGUAAUCGUGGAUCAGAAUGCCACGGUGAAUACGUUCCCGGGCCUUGUACACACCGCCCGUCACACCAUGGGAGUGGGUUGCAAAAGAAGUAGGUAGCUUAACCUUCGGGAGGGCGCUUACCACUUUGUGAUUCAUGACUGGGGUGAAGUCGUAACAAGGUAACCGUAGGGGAACCUGC
rnacentral:rRNA from 1 species